ACGAGGGUGGGAAUGGGGUGGCGGCGGAGGGCUCGGAUUCGUCGUCGAAUGGGGAUCUUGGGAAGGCACGACGAGCAACUUUGCCUUCUUUCACCACUGCAGGAAUGUGGACCGACGACGACGUCGAAGUGUUCGACGCCUUCGAUCCGUUCUGAGGCCCCCAGGUUUUACUCGGCUACUGGUUUAGAUCCAUGGACCUGCUCAAAGCUUUGGCAAAUCAUCAAAACCAUGGUGAAAAACUGAGAUUAACCUAAAGUGUUUACUUGGGUCACCCAGAAAUGUUGUAUACACUGUCAACAUAUACCGUCUUUGAUGCACAAAUGGAGGAGUACAUGAUGCACAUGUAACACAGUUAUCUCACAAUAGAUUAAUUUCAGAAUUCUCUUCUGCUGCAUGAUGUUCAUGUCUAUGAGACAUGGAUGCCAUAUUUUUGACAGCACAUCAUAUGUUUUUUUGUGUGUUCAUGUAGGAGAACUGUUGGAUUCCACAUGCAAGUUCCUUUUGUAGGUAGCAUGAAAGACACUCUUAUAAUGCUCCAUUCUAAUUCUGCUGAUAGAAUUUUUUGACUAUAUCAUGUGCUGGGACAAGUGGACGAGUUCUAAGAGACGGAGAAAAGAAGCUGAAAAAGGGGCAUAUCGAUUGUUCCAGGACUGAGAACCCACUGCCCUGCCACUGUGGGAGAUUCCAUCCAUGGCUAUGGACCAUUCAACAAAAGAUAGUAUCACUGUGCAUCAAUAGAGUUCCAACUUCUUUUUGCAAAUUGAGGGUGGAGGGAGCAAGUUGUCAACAUCUAUAGGGUGCUCCAAAAGCCUUCCAACCAAAACCAGGAAAUUGCUUGAACCCCAAGGCAAAACACUUAAGAGGUCACAAGAUCUAAAGAAAUGGAGGAAACCGGUUCAAAGUGCAUAUUAUAGAAGAAGUUUUUAGGGAAAUAUCGCAGCUGAAAUUUAGAAGGAAAUCUUAUGAUAGGGUCUCCUGCAUUUGUGCUGUUAUGAUUGCUCAGGAGUAAAGGGAAACAUUGAUCUCCAUGAACUUCUUCACUCUUUAGGUUAUCUCCAUUUAGGUUUGGAGUUUAUAAGAAUAUUUCAUAUCAAUCACCUAAUAUGGUGCCUCUCUCCUUGUGAACUUCUGAUAAUGCACAGAGUCUUUCUCUGACCUUCAUAUGGAAGAUCAUAUGAAUCUGGAGUCUGAUAAGUACUUUUUUUUUCUGUUGAACUAUGAUAUCACUCAGCUCAAUAAAAAGGCAAGUGGCCUUCUGCAUUAUAAAGGCACUGCCUUGGAGGUGUUCACCAAAUCCUUAUUCGACAAUCAAGGAACAGUGGAUUUAUGCAAACUUUAGGUUAAUUAAUUUUAGUAUUAAGCUAUCUCUUUAUUAAUACAAAAAAAGAUAAGAAGGAAUUUAAGAAACUAUGAUUAUACAGUUUAUCCUAAGAGGAAAUCCAACAUCUACUUUAUCUCCGUAUCAGAUACAGAAGGAGAAUUUGGUUGGUUUAUGAGGUUGGAUAAAUCUUUUAUAUUAACUGGGAAUUAAGUAUUUUGGGACAGUGUUCUUUAAGCAUAACAUAAAUUAUUGCUCCUUAAAAAAUUUCCUAAUUUUAGUAAAUAAUUAAAGUGGCUCCAUGGUACAUGGUUAAUUUUAGUUCAACAUUGUAUCAUUUCACAAAGAUGCACCUUAAAUAACUCUAUGCUGUAUGGUUUUAGCUUGGAUGAUGUAGGGAACGACUAUACCUCUCUGCUCACUAUGCAUGUCCAAGAGUUUGUGACUAAAGAACCUUGAACUCCAUGAAACUUAAAAUUCAUGGUUUUUCUUUCCUCGCUGUCAAUCUCGAAAUCUGUGAUCCAGUUCUUCAAACACCUGAGACCCGGUUGAUUCUGUUGGAUAAGGUCAGCGGGUGAGAUCACCAUCACCAUUCUUCAGGUCAGUAAUCCAUUAAAUUUUGCAGAUUUAUAUGCGGAGAGCGUAUAACAAUUCUUCUGGUUUUGUCAUGUGUUCUUAGAUCCCUCAUCAAUGCACAGUCAGACUGCACUUGUCAAGCUGCUUGUAUUGGAGGGCAGUACUCUGAAAAUUUUCCAUGGUAACCUCACAUGGAAUCUAACACACUGUCUUCAUUCUCCAGCUUGGGAGGCUCUGUCCAUGUCCCAGUGGCACUACUACCCUUUCAAUUAAUAUCCUUUUUAUGAUCACAACUGCCUUUUUGCCAUUCUUUGGGUUUUGUGGUCUCCAUGGCCCCAUGCCUGAUGCAUUUGCUGCACUGGUAAACCUGGAAACUUGAGGUCGACUUGCAACAACAAGCUUUUCACUGCCUGCAGGUGGUGGAUGGCUUCAGCUGUUACCAAUAUCUAUUCCAUUGAUUGUGCUACACAUGAACCCCUGCUAUGCUGGAUGGAGUUGGGAGUUCUGAGUUGGAUGUUAAACCUGUUGGUGUUGCACUUCUUCUAUCUGAUCUUUCUUUCUCAGGGAUGGCACCAGACCAUAUCUUUUCAGGUGCCGUAGAAACCUAAGCCAGUGUCAUCGCUAGAUGAUUCUAAUUAAAGGUGCGAUAAGAGAGGAUUGUGCCAUUUUGAAGUAGACACAUGAUGGAUACUGAAGCAAUGUACUUGAUCCAUCCAUGUCAUGAUGUAAAUGAGAGGUAGAUGGUAUCACCUAACAUGCUACUAUUGAAGCAUUUCACUUGUACUUAUGUAACCAAAGAUGGUCGGCAGACUAAGAAAACGGAAGAACCGGAAAACCCUGCUAACUUAUUAUUGUAUCAAAUGUUGUAUUGAGAAUUUCUCAUUCACAAGAUCCUUCCUGUUCCUGUACCUUGAUUUUUUUUAUGGAUUGCUGUUAAGAAAGUAUAAUUCCUUUCCUGUA